GUGACUGCGUACCUUUUGUAUAAUGGGUCAGCGACUUAUAUUCUGUAGCAAGGUUAACCGUAUAGGGGAGCCGAAGGGAAACCGAGUCUUAACUGGGCGUUAAGUUGCAGGGUAUAGACCCGAAACCCGGUGAUCUAGCCAUGGGCAGGUUGAAGGUUGGGUAACACUAACUGGAGGACCGAACCGACUAAUGUUGAAAAAUUAGCGGAUGACCUGUGGCUGGGGGUGAAAGGCCAAUCAAACCGGGAGAUAGCUGGUUCUCCCCGAAAGCUAUUUAGGUAGCGCCUCGUGAACUCAUCUUCGGGGGUAGAGCACUGUUUCGGCUAGGGGGCCAUCCCGGCUUACCAACCCGAUGCAAACUACGAAUACCGAAGAAUGUUAUCACGGGAGACACACGGCGGGUGCUAACGUCCGUCGUGAAGAGGGAAACAACCCAGACCGCCAGCUAAGGUCCCAAAGUCAUGGUUAAGUGGGAAACGAUGUGGGAAGGCACAGACAGCCAGGAUGUUGGCUUAGAAGCAGCCAUCAUUUAAAGAAAGCGUAAUAGCUCACUGGUCGAGUCGGCCUGCGCGGAAGAUGUAACGGGGCUAAACCAUGCACCGAAGCUGCGGCAGCGACACUUAUGUGUUGUUGGGUAGGGGAGCGUUCUGUAAGCCGUUGAAGGUGUGCUGUGAGGCAUGCUGGAGGUAUCAGAAGUGCGAAUGCUGACAUAAGUAACGAUAAAGCGGGUGAAAAGCCCGCUCGCCGGAAGACCAAGGGUUCCUGUCCAACGUUAAUCGGGGCAGGGUGAGUCGACCCCUAAGGCGAGGCCGAAAGGCGUAGUCGAUGGGAAACAGGUUAAUAUUCCUGUACUUGGUGUUACUGCGAAGGGGGGACGGAGAAGGCUAUGUCAGCCGGGCGACGGUUGUCCCGGUUUAAGCAUGUAGGCGGAGGUUCCAGGUAAAUCCGGUACCUUUUAACGCUGAGGUGUGAUGACGAGGCACUACGGUGCUGAAGUGAUAAAUGCCCUGCUUCCAGGAAAAGCCUCUAAGCAUCAGGUAACACGAAAUCGUACCCCAAACCGACACAGGUGGUCAGGUAGAGAAUACCAAGGCGCUUGAGAGAACUCGGGUGAAGGAACUAGGCAAAAUGGUGCCGUAACUUCGGGAGAAGGCACGCUGAUAGGUAGGUGAAGYCCCUGCGGRCGGAGCUGAAAUCAGUCGAAGAUACCAGCUGGCUGCAACUGUUUAUUAAAAACACAGCACUGUGCAAACA
rnacentral:rRNA from 1 species